rnacentral:rRNA from 1 species
GACGAACGCUGGCGGCGUGCUUAACACAUGCAAGUCGAACGAAGUGGCGAACGGGUGAGUAACGCGUAAUCAACCUGCCAUUCAGCGGGGGACAACAGUUGGAAACGACUGCUAAUACCGCAUACUGAAGGAGGGGAUUGCGUGUGAUUAGCUAGUGGGAGGGGUAACGGCCCCCCAAGGCGAUGAGCAGUAGCCGGUCUGGGAGGAUGAACGGCCACAUUGGGACGUAGGCACGGCCCAGACGCCUACGGGAGGCAGCAGGGGGGAAUCUUCCGAAAUGGACGAAAGUCUGACGGAGCAACGCCGCGUGAGUGAUGACGGCCUUCGGGUUGUAAAGCUCUGUUAAUCGGGACGCGGUACCGGAAUAGAAAGCCACGGCUAACUACGUGCCAGCAGCCGCGGUAAUAC